rnacentral:tRNA from 1 species
AUUGGGUUGCUCAGUGGCAUAAGCGCCUGCCUUGCAAGCAGGUAGUCAUGAGUUCAAUUCUCUGUACCAAUA